rnacentral:rRNA from 1 species
UACGUAGGGACCAAGCGUUGUUCGGAUUUACUGGGCGUAAAGGGCGCGUAGGCGGCUUUGUAAGUCACUUGUGAAAUCUCCGGGCUUAACUCGGAACGGCCAAGUGAUACUGCAAUGCUAGAGUGCGGAAGGGGCAAUCGGAAUUCUUGGUGUAGCGGUGAAAUGCGUAGAUAUCAAGAGGAACACCUGAGGUGAAGACGGGUUGCUGGGCCGACGCUGACGCUGAUGCGCGAAAGCCAGGGGAGCAAACGGG